AUGGCUCUCGAUGGACAUCUUACUAGACAGUGCUGGAUUGUACACCUGGGUUCUAACACUGUCUGGUAACGAUGUUUACAGGGUGA
ensembl:miRNA MIR200A microRNA 200a